ACGGAAGGCAGCAGUGAGGAAUAUUGGUCAAUGGACGGAAGUCUGAACCAGCCAAGUCGCGUGAAGGAUGAAGGUAUUAUGUAUUGUAAACUUCUUUAGCAGUGGAGUAAUAAGGGGAUCGCGAUCCCUGAUGCAAGUACACUGAGAAUAAGGAUCGGCUAACUCCGUGCCAGCAGCCGCGGUAAUACGGAGGAUCCGAGCGUUAUCCGGAUUUAUUGGGUUUAAAGGGUGCGCAGGCGGCUUUUUAAGUCAGUGGUUAAAUCGUGACGCUCAACGUCAUCACGCCAUUGAUACUGGAGAGCUUGAUUGCGGUCGAGGUUUGCGGAAUUCGUUGUGUAGCGGUGAAAUGCAUAGAUAUGACGAAGAACACCGAUUGCGUAGGCAGCAGACCAGGCCGUAAAUGACGCUCAUGCACGAAAGUGCGGGGAGCAAACAGGAUUAGAUACCCUGGUA
rnacentral:rRNA from 1 species